CGGGCGGCCGUGACCCUGCUGGAGUCCGGGGGGGACCUCCAGCCCCCCGGGGGGUCCCUGCGCCUCCUCUGCCGAGGACAAGGAUUCCAGUUUGGGGAAUUCAGCCUGUCCUGGAUCCGCCAAAAACCCGGGAAGGCGCUGGAAUGGGUCGCAGGGAUCUACAGCACUGGUCGUUACACCGACUACGCGCCAUCCGUGCGUGGCCGGUUCACCAUCGCCAGGGACAACGGGCAGAGCUCGGUGACGCUGAGCAUGAACAACCUCCAGGAUGAGGAUUCCGGGGUUUAUUUCUGUGCCAAAUGUUACAGUUCUGGUUGUACUUACGAUAUGUAUGGUGUUGACGAACUUUGCCCUUAUCACUCAGCCCUGGCCCCGUGUCCCGGUUUGAGGACAGCCGUGUGCCGGGGAGGGCAGGAGCCCCCCAGGGACCCCAAACCCUGCCCUGGCUGA